UACGAAGGGGGCUAGCGUUGCUCGGAAUUACUGGGCGUAAAGGGAGCGUAGGCGGACAGUUUAGUCAGUGGUGAAAGCCCAGGGCUCAACCUGGGAACUGCGCUUGAUACGGCAGAGCUAGAGGAUGGAAGAGGCUCGCGGAAUUCCCAGUGUAGAGGUGAAAUUCGUAGAUAUUGGGAAGAACACCCGUGGCGAAGGCGGCCCACUGGGCCGGUACUGACGCUGAGGCACGAAGGCGUGGGGAGCGAACGGG
rnacentral:rRNA from 1 species